rnacentral:lncRNA from 1 species
AUACGAUGGAAAUAUUCUGCCAUGGCAAUGAAACACCUUGCUGCUUGAUGUGUCGUUAGGAUCUGAUUUAGACGGUGAAUUGUUUGGUGUCGAAGAAGAUCUGCCUGUAAGUUCAUCAAUUCAAUUUUCAAACAUUUUUUUUUUCUAUUUUCGAACACAUACGACAAAUCAUACAUUUAUUCAACUGUUAUUUCAUUUGAUGGAAUAGAAUCCUACAAGAUAAACCUCUGUAUAUAUUUUUAAUAGUCAAAUUGGGAAGUUAGCCUAAAUUUGGGUCAUCUAUAACAUAUACUACUAUUGUAGUAGUGUGUAAGGGUAAUAGAAGAUUUUGAAAGGGACCGUAAAUUAAACACCUUAUUAAUAUAGGCUAUGCAUUAUUUUGAGAGUAUGACUAUUAAUAUUCAACAUAGGGACAAUAUUUUCAAACAUUGGAUUUCUGAAUCCGGAAUGGCAACAAUAAUAAUGAUAAUCAUCACAGUAAACUUUGAACCACCGUUGGAGUAAUUUUUAAUAAAGUCAGCAUUAUGGCUACAAGAAGUCAAACUACAACAAAUACUACAAUUCUUGGUCAAAUUACGUCUGGAUCGGCUUAUAGAUAAAUAAAGGAAAUGUUUACUUGUGAUAUUAUUCAUUAUCAUUAGGAUUAGUAUAAUUUACCUAAAUAUUGGAUGACUUAAUUUAAUUAAAACCACCUAUUCAUCUAUAUAUAGAAGUACUACUUAUGUAUCUUAUUAUAAACAUUUAUUGUUUUUUUUAUUCUUAUUAAGAAAAAUUGAUAAAUUAGUUGAUGUCAUCAUUUUAUCUGUUUUAAUAUUCCUAAAAAAAUAUUUCUAUUCAUAUGUGUUAAAUUUAAUUUUUUAUAUUUCAAAAUAAAUUAGUAGUAUUAAUAGGAAUAUGUUUAAAAAUAAUAAUAAAUAGGUUUAAUAAAUUAAAAGAGUGGUUAUAUCCAAGGACAAAUUUUUUUCUCAAAGCUUAUAAUUAGUGACAGAUAGUAUUGAUAAAAGUGGGUGAACCAACUUUGGUGAGAUGAAUACAACACACACAUAUAUAGACUGAGGUAUCCCGUGGUUAUAAACUGCCAUAAAUUUCACAAAGAAUUUCAAGUCAUUUUACCAUUGCUGUCAACUUACUUCAACUUAUAAAAUUCCAAAAUCAGUUCAUAUUCUUAAUGAAGAAAUAAAAAAGCGUAUGCCACAUUUCAUUCAAAAUUAUUGCAUUAGUCUCUUUCAAAUGUUCAAUAAGUAACAAAAAAAUCAUAGUAUUUGUCUCGAGCAAAAUUGGUGUGUUUGUACUAUUAGUAGUCAAAAUUCAAAAAAGGAAGUUAUGGGGAAGGGUCUAUAAGUUGUCUUCAAGUCAAACGGUUAUGACCAUGACAUCACAUAGAUAUGGGGCUACAAGGGUAUCUUUGAUUUUGAAUUAGGAUUGUAUCGGUAAGGGACCACUGAUAUUAAGUGUCACGUGUAUAUGUAUACCAACAAUAGUAGUACAUACUACCUUAGGAAUUCAAUGUUCAUCAUAAUAAAGUUAAAUACCAUCUUAUUCAUAAGUAUAUAUAAACCUUAUUAGAAGCCUUAUUACGGUACCUUUGCAAUGCUUUGUAUGCCUAUGUGUACUAAACUCUAUCCAAUCAUUUAAAAAAAAAUGUACAACGAUAAUAUACCUAUCCCAUAUAUAUUUGAAAUUUUUAUUACUAACAAGGAAAUAAUUUUGCUACCUCUUUUAAGCUUUAUACUACACAUACCCCUUCAAAUUCAAUUUGGUGCAUAUGGAUUUUUCCUUAUUGAGGUGUAUGUUUUUUUUUUCUUUUUCAAUAUCACCAUAUAUAUAAUGUAUCCAAGUAAAUGUACCGGACACACCCGAAAGGAACUAAUUAAAGUCGUUUUCGAGAUAUAAACAUUGCCUCCCCACCACACACAACAUAUGUAAAUUAGAUGCAAAAUUUUUUAUUUAUUUUUAAUUUGUUUGUUUUGUAGAUUCCAUGUAACUAACUGAAGAGAGAGAAAUGAAUGGAUUUUGGAGGUGGUUGUAGCAGGUUUCCUUACCCAACGAGUAACAUAUUCUUCUUCCUACCCGACCCACGAGAUCCGUUAUAAAAACUUUGUCAAGUCAGGGCCCUUAGGGGGACCACAAAAUUAUAAUCAACCAAUAUUAUAUUGUCAUAAUACUCCAUCCAAAAUAGUAUAACUAAUUAAUC